rnacentral:tRNA from 1 species
GGCCUCGUAGCUUAACUGAAUAGAGCAUCUGACUUCGGAUCAGAAGGUUGUGGGUUUGAAUCCCGCCGGGGUCA